CAGCUGUAGUAAAAGCGGAAGUUGAUAUGGAGUGAUUCCUAAGACCUUUAAGUCUCUUUUCAUGCGAUUUUUUGUUUUAUUAAUUAAGUUAUACAGGAAAUAUCCAUAAUUAUUAAGUGAUUGCGUGAAACGAAUUGGAGGACGCUUUCCAAGGAUUUGCAUUUUCUUCCAGCUUCACUUAAUAAAUAAUACUCAAAAUCAGCCUGUAUGAAGGUCUUAGAAGUGACGUGAAAGUUAUAACUUAGAAGAUAUAAAAAUUAUUCGUAACAAAUUAUUUAGAUUUUAUUGAAGAAAUUAUAAUGCUUGUUGCGUCAACCUAUAAAUUAGAUUAAUUAGUAAAUAUUACUUUUACAUCUCUGCUCUAUGGACCUGAUCAAGUAUGUGAUUGUCGUUUUUGUUUCAUUUCUACUAAAUUCUCGAACAGUG